CUGUGAGAAAUAACUCAAAUGAUUUUUUGGAGAUCAGAUCUCUUGAGAAAAAGUUUUAAUUUGUGAUUGCAGUGGCAAACGUCCUGCAAGUCAGAGUGCACAACCGAAAACACAUCGAAGCCUUAUAUCCCCUGUAUGCUGACACCAACAAUUCCUCCCGUUUCCUCGAUAAGUGAGUACUCCAGGUUCACAAUCUACGCAAUGCUUCCCACAACCCCUAAGGACUCUCUUCCAAGAGUUUGGAACUCAAGCCCAGCCUCUUCCAAACACUGAAAGAAGAAACGACAGCUGUUAAAUUUCCUUUACAUUUCUUGCGUCUUACAGUACACGUGGUUUAGAAAACGCUAUGCCAAGCUUAAUAUGGAACUGGCUUCCUAGCCUCAAACAGCAGAAGUAACUUCUCCCUGUUAGGUAGGGAAUUAUUCAUUUUUUUCCUAUAUAAAAAAGGCAAGAAUGUUUGCACGGGAACAGGAUGUUUACCAUCAGACAUCCACAUCCAGAUGUCCCCACAAGCAAGAUCUCUGCAAAGAUGGUUGUCUGACAGAAUCAUAGCCUGAUGAAGGCUGUCCUAUAAUCAACAAAGCAAAGAGUUUUAGAUAAAACUGCAAAACAAAGGAGAGGCUUUCACACAACAGAAAUUGCGUGCACAACUUAACAGGCGGCUGAGCCAAUCUAUUCAUUUGUAGCAUUAGAAGGGCACACCUGUUUGCUCCAAACUUCAUCAGGAACUUACAUGGUCCAUAUAAAGCAUUAAAAGAGCAUCUCAAAACAUCUCAAGAAACUGCGACACGAGCAACCGAGCCAACCUAGUGGCUCAUUCUUGCUGUUUGUUGAGUGCAAAAGAGCUGGCAGGAAGAAAAGCAAGCACGGGGAACGAAUGCAAGCUCUGCAUUCAAGACAUGAGACUGCAGCGGCAAGACAACACAGAUGUCACACUAAGUAUUGACUGUUUAAGAUUCUAAUUUCUUCACCUGAUGUGGAUGCCCCUGGGAACACAAAGCACAGAGUACUGCAGAAGACGAUGGUGCUAGCCCUGCUGCGCAAGGUGGAAGCACUGCUUUGCUCCCAGAGUAUUUGUGUGUGUGGUGCUGUAAGAAAACAGCUACUGAAGUUCCAAGGGAAAGGCAAGGAGGGGAAGGGGAAGGGAAAGGGAAGGCAAGGCCAUGGUUUGUCUUUUUUAUGGUUUAUGGAUACAGUCAGGCACAAACUGGUUUUCCCGUCCUGCAGCCAGGAAUGCUCCGACCUGAGGGGUGCGUGGCUACGAGAGAAAUGUGUCUGUGGAAGCGUGUCUCGUUCCUCCCCUCUGACGGGGACAGAAGGCGUGGGAAAAAAUAGGAAAGCAGAAUGCGUCUGCAUUCUCCUCAUGGCUCUUAUUUCCUGUCUUAUGGUGGGAAAUGAGCUGAGCCACUGUGCCUCUUUAUGAUGGUUAGCUCGGCACCUCUUCCAUCAUUAUUCCCAGCUGUACCUGUGUGUAAUGCUCCACACUCAGACCUGCAGAGCCCAAAGGCCUCCUUGGCAGCUGUCACUCACCUGGAGGUUGUAGGGUGCUGUGCUGUGCCUCCUGUCUGUGCCUGCUUCCCUGGUGUCAUUUGCAAGACACUGUAGGUCCAUCUGGUAGGGACUGCAGUCAGCUAACGCAAAAGUGAAAGAAGCAUGCAAGUAGUGUUUUUUAUUUCAUAGGCUUUAAUCUUCCUUGAAGCUUGUUCUGCUGCGGAGCACAGGUGGAAGCAAUUCACCUGUAUAGCAAAAGGUGGAGCCUGGUUCCACCCCUCCCAACCCUCAUUUAAGGGCUGGCUGCCCCCAGGGCUGGAUCUCUUCUUGGGGAUCUAGCCUUUUGUGGUGUGUUGUUUGUCUUGUUCCUCAGAAAGGGAUGCUCUUCAAGUGUUUCUAGAUUUCUCUCUGCAAGUAGCUGAUGGAGGAAGCCUUUCACUGAAGCACAGCUUUGCAGAAUGGCUGGGGAAGAAGGUAGAGCUUGAGAAGGCACCAAAGAGAGGCACAGAUGCAAAGCAGACAUCAGGAGUUCACGUACUGUCUGCUGGCAGCUGCACGGCUGCCCCCUGCUGCCUUUUGCUUUCUGCAGGUGUCCUUUGACACCCAUGAAUCUUUAGCAAGGCUGCGUCAGUGUAAAACAUCAGUAAUCCAUGGAGAUCUGAAGGCAGAAGCUUUUGGAUGCGCACAAGUCACAGUCCGUAGUGAACAGAAGACCUUGAGCCAACACUUGAACAAGGGAUCAUCUCUGUUCCCUUCAUUCAGAGGAUGGAAAUGUGGAUUGUUCCAGGCCACAUUCAAGAAUUUCCACUUCUUUGGCACACUGUGAGUCAAAAGGACACACGAAUGUGUUCUAUACAUGUCUUUCUCUCCUCCUAUCCCCCACAGGGCCUUCGAAGAACCUCUACCACUUCCAACCUAAAAGCGCUGUGGUAUUUGGCAGUUUGACACAGAAAAGUUUCUCAUUAAUGGAAUUCAUUGCCACUGUGUUCUGGGGUUGAGACAUUCAAAAUACUUGGAGUUCCAGGUUUUCAGCAGUGAAAUGAUAAAGAACCAAUCUGUGUUAUGAGAUUCACUGUGAGCCUCAGUCUAAUUGCACAGGUCUCAGGAGAGGGCAGUGCAGAGCUCAGGUGCUGACCACGUGCCUUUUCUAUGUUAUCUUCUUAGAAAGAACCUACAACGAGUAUCAUUUCUCUAGAACUGCUGAAGAAAUACCAAAUGCGUCAGUUCCCCCUGAUUUUAUAGAUGGAACACAAGACAAAGAGAAGGACUGCAGAGGCAGCUAAACAAAUGGCUUGGCUUGAUUAGAAUUUCUCCAUGCAAGUCAUUUCUAAAAAUCUGAAUUCAGCUGAGGCUGAACAGUUUCUAUUGUUUCUUGAACUCAGAUAUCACCAACUGUAUAGUAAGGGCUUAUCACUUCAGUUUGCAAUUCUAUGUCACUGAUUAUCAGCUGAAUCCAAUGUCAAAGUUUUUUUAGUUUUGUUUUUUCUCAGAUACAGUAUGUUCCCUUCAGAAAAUAUUCUUAAGGACAACUUAACCUAAUUCAUUAUAAAAUAUCCCAGCCAUGUCUGAGAACAUUGAUAUGUUAAAGGCCUUUUUUUUUUAUUGUGGGGAUGGAGCUAAAUAUGGAAAAUGUAUUGAUAUUUUCUUCCAUUUAGAACAUCCUGAACGUUUACAAUUUGACAGGAUUACAAUUUGCCCACAAAGGCACAGAGGGAUUUUAUUUAUUUGUUUGUUUAUUUAUAAUUUGGAUGAAGUAACACAGUAACACUGUUAAGAUUUACAAGAACAAGAAAAUACAGUCCUCAGCUAUGAGUGAAACCUGAGCAAACUCCAACAAGGUUCAUCUUCCACAAGGAAUAACUGCACAAAAAAAUGUUUGGUGCAGAGAGAUAAGAAAUGAUAGAUAGAUACAGAAUGAUGAAGUUAGCUACAGGGACGAUGGGAGACUACUGAAACAUGAGUAGGCUUAAAGUCCUUGAAGAGGGAAAUAGGUAGGUGAGAGAUAGCUCAGUGAGCAAAGAGUAAGUGGAGGGGAAAUUGGGAGAACAAUGGGGAAGUGCAUGCUCCCAGGCAGUUACUAGAAAUGUGACUUCUGAUAGGAACUUUUCAAUCAGGAAAGGUAGAAAUAGUGGAAGGAUGAGGGAGGUGAAGUGCACUGCGUAAGAGAUGAAGGAUUGGCAAUACAAGUGCAAGGGCAGAUCACUAUUUUGUCUUCUUAUUAAUACACAUCCUGAAAAAUUGUCAUAGUACUUUAUCAUGGGAAAACACUAGCAUUUUAUUACAUGUAUUCACUCACUUUGUCCAGUAUAAAGUGUUCAAAAGUUUCAGGAAAUACUCAGGCCCAGAGCACAAAAAUGAUACCUUUAUGUUCUGUGGGGAGCCCAGAGCCCACAAGUCCUCCCUGCCCAGCACUGUUCCUGUGAUGCCAGCUGCAGUAUCAGAGGACUCACCCAGCAGUGCUGAGAGCUGGGGAGAUGGGAAGGGGAGAGGAAAGGUCCAGGUGAUAUGGCUGGGAGGUGGCUGGGAGACCAUUCCUCCUGCAGGAACCUGACUGACCUGUGGCUGGCAGGCACACACACAGAGAGCUGGAAGGGAGCACGUGGACCUGCUGGGCAGCCUGGUAUAGCAAAGGCAGCAGCACCCAGGGAACCCACAAGCAAUGCCAUCUAAGGCCCAGAUGGUGUAGACAAUGGUAUGGGAACUACCAAAUCAAAGUACGGGUAUAGCAAACUAAGAAUCGGCAGGGGAAGUGUAGUUGGUGAGAGCUUAUAGCUGGGAAGGGACUGCAGCAGAGAAUGAGAGGGAUUAAGGUGGAUCAAGGAGGAAGAAAUCCUGUGGAAGAAGAGAGGAGAGGGAUGCAAACAGCAAGCUGCUCAUGGACAGUGGUCUGGUCAGGGAUGGUCUGAUGAGAUUCUGUCCUUGACCACUGUGCUCUGCUCUUCCUUUAUUAACCCUGCUCCUGGCUAUUUGCUGUGUCUGUGUGCUCAUUUUUGUGUGUGUUUGGGGUGAAUGUCUGCAUGUUUUGCUGGCCCAGGUGGGGCAGGCUGGAGGAGGAGGAGGACAGCAGGCUCUGGAGAGACCCAGGGUUGUGGCUGCCAUGUGGGAAACAGCAUAGAGCCUGGGCAGGGCACCGGGAUGGACCCACUCAAGAAGCCGUGGCAGUGUCUGUGCCUAAGGGUAAGUGGUACAGGCUGUGCACAGACCUCUGGUGUAGAUGUGAUGGAUGUAAAGGUGCUUCUGCUAGUUGGAGAUGGUCUGUGUGUGGUCAGCUGUAUCCAACUAUGUGUAUGUAUCUGUAUGUGUGUACAGGAUCAUGUGCUUGUGUAUGUAUGUGUGUGUGUUUCCUUGUUUGCACAAGAAUGUUGGGAACUUGGUGGGAAACUUCUCCUGGUUGCUGAUGCAGCGAGAAGCUGGGCUGCAUCUGAGAAUGGAGGGACAUUUCUUGAGAGCCUCCAUGUAUGUGGGUGCUGCGCAGGGCAUCAGAAUGCCCUCAGGGUGCUCCAGUCAUCUGCGGGGCUUCCAGCAAUGUACAGCUAACAGCAAAGGGCUCAUCCUUCCCUUGAUCACAUCUUCACUCCAGUGCUUCAGACACACCUGAUGUGAGGAGCCUUGUCUAGGGGUGAUUUUGUGUAAGGGACAGCACACAGGCUGGGGCUGACUGUCUCACCCUUUAGGAGGGCUGAUAGUAAGUCAUGGGCAGUGGAGGGCACCAAUCCUUCUUCAGACUUGUCCCAGGCUGGGUGGAGCACCUGGACACUAAGGACAUCUCCCUCUUCAUAAGCAUGCUAUAGGGUACCCACAGUCUGGAGGCUGUCUUGGAUUAGAUGAACACCAGUGUGCAAGGCAACUUCCAGACAAGGGUCAGCUCCCAUCUAAAUCCACCCAUCCCUCCUCUGAUCUCUCAGCUGUUCCUGGCCACCUCCACAUGCUCUGUGCGGAGCCCUGAGCUCCUGCUGCUAUCAGGAGACCAAGCAGGCUGUGGUGCCCAUGAUGUGGCUCCACACUGCCUGCACUGCACAGGGUGAGAAGUAGACCCAGCUGGGUUGGGCACACGCUGCUAACCUUCCCCACUGGCUUAGAUGUCAGUGGUAGGUGCUCAGAAAGAUGAUGGAAUGUUUCCAAGCACACUAGAGGCUUCCAGGUAUCUUUCUAGAGGCAGCUCGUGGUGACAAGAGUGUGAAAGAACCUCCCUCCAUCCUCAUUCCUUGUGCACACUCAUCCUUCUCUGAAUCCCACAAGAACUGCAGAGUCCUUUUGCUUGGUGGAUAUCUUAACUUGGCGCUAUCCAUAUGGGUGACUCCACCUUGGCUGAUCUCUCACUUGGUGGGGCUCCAGUCACUGCCCACCUUGGGCAUGUGCUGCUCAUGGAGAACUCCUGGGCUCUCCAGACGGUUCCAUUUUCCUUUCCUGAAGAUGUCCCCUGCCCUAUCAUACGUUGGACAGACACGGGGGCAUACCUCAGUGACCAUUUGCCAUCUCCACUGUCAUCAGACACUAACAGGUUAUCACUAAAUCUAUUGGUCUCUCACUAUAUGGCAAAGAGCUUAUUCUCUACUAAAUCCUUGGAGCAAACGUUCUUUUAGGGUGCUGCUGCUCAGCCCUGUUCUUGGCAUCAUCUGUCGAAGAAGAGCCAAGUCUUCAGGCAGUGCAUUGUAUUAGUUUCCUUUUAUUACAGAGAUACAUAGAUACAUGUUUACAGAGCCUCAAGAGUUGACAGAGCAGUUACAUUCCUCGGUAGAAGGGGGUUGAAUAAAACACAUUUCUCUAAGAAUGCAGUAAAUGCUAAUGACAAUAAAGUUAACAAUAGCAGAGAUGCAAUCAUUUGCCAUGGGGACAGCUACUCCAGGUACUUCUUGGUCAGGCUCACUGCACAGGUUGCCCUGGAAUAGGGCUGCACAGCACUCUGGUGCCACACAGCCCAAGCAGAGCCCUAAUGAGGCAAAGGCUCUCCUUUACCAGCUAUGGGGCUCAAGGCUGGGCCAUUCUGGUGAUGAACGAACAUCCAGGGCUUCUGUGGCAUCAGAGCCACCUGCCCAUUGCCUUUGGCACCUGUAACCAGGGCUCUGAGCUCCUGCUUGACCAGUCCCAGGGGUGAGCCCCUCGAACAGUUGAUCCCUUCAUGGCCUGGUCAGUGUUGGCCCUCAGUGGGCCCAGCAACCUCAGAAACCUGGGGCUGGCUUGGGACUUUCACUUCCCUCGAGGUUUGUUCCCGAUUCUUUCUGUGUCUGCAGUUCAGGAAGUUGGCACCAGAGGGCUCACCAACAUGCAAAAUGCACUGACAGGUCCGAGCCUCUGGGCACCCCUUUUCUAAAUUCUUCAAGUCUUACGUGGCUAAUUAGAGAGAUUAGAGAGUAUAGCUGGAGCAGACAUAUGAAAAACACUUCACCUGUGCUCUGCCUGGAAUUGUCUCAAACUCGUGCAAGAUCAGACCAUCGCCAUGACAACAGGCUAAUGGGUUAAGAUUUGAUAGUUUUGGGAUCUUGAUUGACUCCCUCUCUUCACGGGUGGGACAUGACAGCAGCCAUUUCUGUCAUGAGCCACUUGGAACUUGCAUCAUGCUUUCUCACACCUAAGCUUUGUCCACUAAAGACCGUAGCUGAAUCUUUCAGCUUAUUUGCAGCAGUUUCCACCUGCUUUUUUUAGCUGUGCAUGGUCAAGAGAAGAAAUAGCUGUCAUGACUCAACCUGUGAAGGGUCCUCGGUCUGUGAGAGCGCUCAUCCAAAGCUACUGAAAUCUUUGAAGUCUCAAACCGGUAAAAGCCCUUAAGCUUCAGUCAUGCAUCCUUUCAUGCCUGCUAGAUUUGCAGGUGCACCAUCCCAAGGUUGUAAACAAGUGACUUUGCAAGAAACAGGUUAGUCAAAAACAAGUUUGCAGUCAAAAAUUUCCUCUCGGAGUCCUUUUGGACAAAGCAAGGCUGUCCUAUUCUCACAGGAUCCCAUCCUUCAUCCUGUACUUACCUCUCAAUUUGUUAUGGUGACAGUCUUAUACUGCAAGUGUUAAUUCCCUUUUAUUAGGGAGAUACAUAGACACAUUUACACAGCCUCAAGAGCUAAUAAAGUAGUUUCAUUCCUCAGUAGAAAUGAGUUGAAUAAAACACAUUUGUCUAAGCACAUAAUUAAUGCUGAUGACAAUAAAGGUAACAAUAACAGAGGUGAAGUUCCACAGGAUCGUAGAAAGGCUUGGGUUGGAAGAGACAUUAAAGAUCACCAGGUUCCAACCCCCUGUUGAGGGCUGGGUGCCCCCCUCCAGAUCAGGCUGCUCAGGGCCCCUUCCAUGGCCUGAGCACCUCCAGGAAUGGGCCACCUACACUGCUCUGGGCAGCAGUGCCAGGGACUCACCACCUUCUGGGGAAAACAUUUCCUCCUCACAUCUAAACAUAAUCUCAUUUUAGUUAGUUUAAAUCUGAUCCCCCUUCUGUGAAAUUACUUUCCUAACAGCUCCUUGCUUCUCAUGCUGUACGUGACAGGGUCCAGUGCUGGAGGCAGCACAAAUACAGAACUGCCACCACCAGGUCCUAUCUUGGGGAGGAAAUGGAGAGAGGCUUCGGGAAGGUAAACAUGGCAGAGCUGAGAAACAGGGAGACCACAGUCAGGUAAGGGAGGCACAUGGAAAAGGAUUUGUGUCAUCCCUGCUCAGAGUGCAUCCUCAGCACAACCCUGAAGAGCUUCAUAUAGGACAGCACAAUGAAAACGAAACACUGAGGUGUUAAACAGAUAGCAGUCAACAUAACUCAGAUCUCUCUAAGGAAGGACUAUUAGCAGGAGAGUUUGAGGAUUGUAAAAUCAUUAAGGUUGAAAAAAAUCUCUCAGAUCAUCAAGUCUGACCCCAACCCAUGCCACCCCAGGCCCACAAACUAUGUUCCUCGGUGCCAUAUCUCUACAGUUCCCAACCACCUCCAGGGACAGCAACUCCACCACCUCUCUGGGCAGUCUGUCCCAAUGCACAACCACUCCUUCUGAGAAGAAAUUCUUCCUAAUAUCCAACUUGAAGUUCCCCUAGUGCAAC